GAUGAACGCUGGCGGCGUGCCUAACACAUGCAAGUCGAACGAAGCAUAGAAGACGGAGAUUCGUCAAAGCCUUCUAUGACUUAGUGGCGGACGGGUGAGUAAUGUAUGAGCAACCUGCCUUUCAGAGGGGGACAACAGUUGGAAACGACUGCUAAUACCGCAUAAGACCACAGUGCCGCAUGGCACAGGGGUAAAAACUCCGGUGGUACAGGAUGGACCCGCGUCCAAUUAGCUAGUUGGUGAGGUAACGGCCCACCAAGGCGACGAUUGGUAGCCGAUCUGAGAGGAUGACCGGCCACAUUGGGACUGAGACACGGCCCAAACUCC
rnacentral:rRNA from 1 species